rnacentral:lncRNA from 1 species
UAGGGAUGUUAACAAUGGGUUUUUACCCAUAGGGUACCCUAAACCCGGUUGGAAUUUAAAAACCAAAACCCGUAUAUUCAGUUUUCAAAAUUCGCGGGUUUAUUUUGGGCGGGUCUUGAUUUAUAAAUUACCCGUUCGGGUUUUACCCUAUAGGGUUUCGGGUACCCUAUGGGUUUAAAAAAAUAUAUAUAUAUAAUUGAAAGGACGACUUUUACCCUAAUUUUUAAGGAUUUAAAUGAUUGAAAUCAAAAAUUAGAUGUAUAAAUCAAAACAUACAAUGCCCACUAUUAAAUUUUGCACUCUCUAUAACUUAUUUAUUUACUUACAUUAUGGAUAUAGUAUAAAUUUGCAAAUUGAAAAUUAUGAAUGAUGAAAAUUUUAUUUGUUACUUUAUACAGAAAAUAAAUUUGAUAAUUGAAAAUUAAUCAAAUUUAAUACAAAACAUGAUUAAAAUUAAAUAUUCAAUACAUAUAAAUUUAAGUUAAAACUAUAAAACUUUAACUAAAAAACCACAAAACUCAAAAAAAGGUUUUUUCGGGUACCCGUGGGUAACCCUAAAGUUCUAGGGUUUUUCGCGAGUUACCCUAAUAGUACCGGGUUUUUUUCGGGUUUUAUAGUUUA